rnacentral:rRNA from 1 species
CAGUAGCCGCGGGAAUACAGAGGGUGCGAGCGUUAAUCGGAUUUACUGGGCGUAAAGCGUGCGUAGGCGGCUUCUUAAGUCGGAUGUGAAAUCCCUGAGCUUAACUUAGGAAUUGCAUUCGAUACUGGGAAGCUAGAGUAUUGGAGAGGAUGGUAGAAUUCCAGGUGUAGCGGUGAAAUGCGUAGAGAUCUGGAGGAAUACCGAUGGCGAAGGCAGCCAUCUGGCCUAAUACUGACGCUGAGGUACGAAAGCAUGGGGAGCAAACAGGAUUAGAUACCCGCGUAGUCCCUGUCUCUUAUAC